rnacentral:misc_RNA from 1 species
GAUGAAGAACGUAGCGAAAUGCGAUACUUGGUGUGAAUUGCAGAAUCCCGUGAACCAUCGAGUCUUUGAACGCAAGUUGCGCCCGAAGCCACUAGGCCGAGGGCACGCCUGCCUGGGCGUCACACGUCGUUCCCCCCCCAUCUACUCCUUCGGGAUUGCAGGGGGCGGAUGAUGGCCUCCCGUGCGCCUCGCCGCGCGGUUGGCAUAAAUACCAAGUCCUAGACGACGCACGCCACGACAAUCGGUGGUUGCGAAACCUCGGUUGCCCGUCGUGUGCGUUCGUCGCGCAUCGAGGGCUCGAAAAAAUGCUCGGCUCCGGCUCGGCUUUCAACGCGACCCCAGGUCAGGCGGGGUUACCCGCUGAAUUUAAGCAUAUCAAUAAGCGGAGGA